rnacentral:pre_miRNA from 1 species
CAUGUACUCCCUCCGUCCGGAAAUACUUGUCAUCAAAAUGGAUGAAAAUGGAUGUAUCUAGAACUAAAAUACAUCUAGAUACAUCCAUUUCAAUGACAAGUAUUUGCGGACGGAGGGAGUACAUG